CCUACGGGUGGCAGCAGUGGGGGAUAUUGCACAAUGGGGGGAACCCUGAUGCAGCGACGCCGCGUGGGUGAAGAAGCGCCUCGGCGCGUAAAGCCCUGUCAGCAGGGAAGAAAAUGACGGUACCUGAAGACGAAGCCCCGGCUAACUACGUGCCCGCAGCCGCGGGAAUACGUAGGGGGCAAGCGUUAUCCGGAUUUACUGGGUGUAAAGGGGGCGCAGACGGCGAUGCAAGCAAGGAGUGAAAGCCCGGGGCCCAACCCCGGGACUGCUCUUGGAACUGCGUGGCUGGAGUGCAGGAGGGGCAGGCGGAAUUCCUGGUGUAGCGGUGAAAUGCGUAGAUAUCAGGAGGAACACCGGUGGCGAAGGCGGCCUGCUGGACUGCAACUGACGUUGAGGCCCGAAAGCGUGGGGAGCAAACAGGAUUAGAUACCCCAGUAGUC
rnacentral:rRNA from 1 species